rnacentral:rRNA from 1 species
GAUGAACGCUGGCGGCGUGCCUAAUACAUGCAAGUCGAGCGAACAGACGAGGAGCUUGCCCCUCUGACGUUACCGGCGGACGGGUGAUUAACACGAGGAUAACCUACCUAUAAGACUGGGAUAACUUCGGGAAACCUGAUCUAAUACCGGAUAAUAUAUUGAACCGCAUGGUUCAUUAGUGAAAGACGGUUUUGCUGUCACUUAUAGAUGGAUCCGCGCCGCAUUAGCUAGUUGGUAAGGUAACGGCUUACCAAGGCUACGAUGCGUAGCCGAUCUGAGAGGGUGAUCAGCCACACUGGAACUGAGACACGGUCCAGACUCCUACGGGAGGCAGCAGUGGGGAAUAUUCCGCAAUGGGCGAAAGCCUGACGGAGCAACGCCGCGUGAGUGAUGAAGGUCUUCGGAUCGUAAAACUCUGUUAGUAGGGAGGAACAAAUGUGUAAGAAACUAUGCACGUCUUGACGGUACCUAAACAGAAAGCAACGGCUAACUACGUG